ensembl:lncRNA
CAAAGGGACAGGCCAGGGUGGUUUCCCUGACCACUGAGGCCUAUUAAUGCCAGAUACUUUGAAGGAUCAUAGACUGGUUAUGAUCACAGAAUCAUAGAAUUGCUUGGAUUGGAAGGGACCUCAAGGACCAUCAAGCUCCAAACUGAUGACGGUGAUGAUUGUGAUCAAACUGUAUACAAAAUCCUUAAGUUUCGGCCAGAGAUGGGCAUGUACUGGUGAGGCAGAUACACAUGGUAGGAUUUCUUUCCACCAAAGGUAAGCCCUCAUCUCAAGUUAACUUCCAGCACUAUUUCUUUCUUACAAGUCUGUGGCUGCUGCAGUGAUGUGUUCAGUCUAAUCAGUUAAGAUAGCCAGCACAGGUAGUUUACAUGGUGUACAUGGAAGUGUAGGAGGGCAAUCCUUGAGAUACACCAGUUCCUGGCUCCUGACUCUUACAGGUCCUAAAUCAGCAAGUGUGAUGGAUCCUGUCUUACCCCAAGGCAAUAUGCCUACAGUGAAUUAGCCAUAGCAUCUUCCCUUUUUGAGGAAAAGCCUUAGUUCCUACUGUAUUUACACAGAGGCUUGCCAGACCAUGUAAACCAUUGGACUACUGGAUUGAAGUAGACAGAGCCACCACUUACUCUACUUUCUUUCAAGGCUGGUCUCACUGGUGUGCUCUGAGGCAAGACAUUACUACCUAUGACUGACUGAAGUACUUCAGAUGAGGCACGCAACAGCCUGUCAUGCAAUUUGUUCUCCUGGACAUGUACAUGGACAGACAAAUCCCAAGAGCAUUUCACUGCUAGGCCCUCCUGAGCCUGUGGUUUGACCCCUGGGAGUGGGAAUUUGGUGGAUACAUUUGGGCCUUGGAUGCUUAUCAUUUCACGAGCAUUUGACUCCACAAUAAUAACAGUCCAUGGAGAAGCCAUUCUUCAUAGGGUGUCAUGACAAUGGGACCUAUUCAAGACAUGAGGGUGGCAGUAAUUGUCCUCUAGGCACUCCAGUACCAGUUACUUUGCUCAGCUAAGGAUUUAGCCCUGCAUUUGUAUUGCCAGCAACUUUAGUAGAGUAUAAUGAAGUUGGAACUGCUUUUCCAUUGUAAUUCCAUGUAAUUUGUACCUGAUUCUGAAAAGAAUCUCAGAUCUUUGUGAUAGGGCACAUGAUUUAAUUUAGUUUAAUUUAAUUUUGACACUGGCAAGAUUCUCAUUUAAAGUGCAGAUUUCCAAGUGUAUAAAUCUAUAGGAAUGACACUGGCUUAGAACCUUUAGUAGGCAGCCUGUCAUAACUAGUGCCUAUUAGUUAAAUUAAUGUAACAACGUGCACUUUUAGUGCUUGAGAAAGAAUCUGCUCCUCAAAUAUAGACCACAAAGACCUACAAAUGGUUAUUUAAUUAAACUCAUUUUUUCUUUUCAGAUACUUCCUCCGAAAUUUCCUUCUUUCCUCAGGUAUAGCAUUCUUACAAGAGAAUGUGAAUUUAAAACGCUUAAAUCAAGGAAAGUCCAAAUUGUGCUGUAAUGAGAACAUUAAAACUCACUCAGUGCUCCUCUCUUCUAAGUGAAUGUAUAUUUUUUAUAUGAAAUACAGAGGAAAUUGAACUCCUACCUCUGUGGUGAAAGAAGAACACAAAAUCUUCACUAGGAGCUGAUGGUUUGCUUCAACUGUAUAAGCACUUCACAAGGUUCCAGUUUCCAGCCUUUAACUGAGUGCCUAAGGCAUGCGUGUCCAACCUUUUGGCUUCCCUGGACCACUCUGAGUGAAGAGGAAUUGUCUUAGGCUGCAUAUAUGUCGGUCACUCUGAAAGUAAUGCCUCCUAUUUAUUUCCAUGGAAACUACAACAGAUACAAAGAGAGCGGUAACACUGCUUGAUAGAGAAAAUUCUCAGCUACAAAACACUAUUUUUCAACACAGUCAGUCACCACCAUGAGCUAUGUAUUUUCACCAAUGAUGAACAAGAGCCUGCAUGCCACACUCAUAAAGAUCUGCAUGAGCAAUGUGACCCACUUUCACUGUUACUGCUGCUGAAACACCCCAUCCACCGCCUCACUGUGCUCACUGUGCUCAGAUCCACUGGUUGGUCUCUACAGACAUUCAGCAAGUGUCAAUGGAUAUCAGUGGGAGCCAUUUUUUCUGCAUGGAGGAAUUCAGUGGCGCACUUUUCUUCACAUGCACUUCCAUGUCAGAUGGUAUUGUGUCAGAGUGCCCCUCUGCUGCCAUCUGUCACUUGACAACAAAAUGUGAUGGGAUAUUGGUGGGAAGGUUCAACUUGUACUGCCAAACCACUGACAACUGCCUUGAAUAUUGUGGACCAACAUUAUAAAACAGAAGGCAUUACUUUUGGGACAUCCUCAUAAAAUAUACAAUAUAGCUAAUGUGUAUAAGUAACAAAACAUUUUAAUUUUUAAAUUUUUUAAUUAAAACAUAAGAAGGGACAGCAACAAAACCAUAAAACUAGUGGGAUAUGUGAUUCUGUAUUUGUGAAACUAACGCUUUGGUCUGGUUCAGUGGCAGUGGCUGCCAUUCUUAGUACGAUCUCAAGAGGUUAAUCAGAGAUUUUUGUUGCAUUUUAUUUUUCCUGUGCUUUAUCCAUGAAAACAGUUGUUUGCAAGUAUACAUACUCCCAGAAAGUGAUGACAUGAAUAAGGUGUGACUAUGAAGUGAG